AGGUGUGGAUUAAAACUUUAUAUAAAAAUUAAAGUUCAACUUGAAUUAACAAACAAUAAUGGGAGAUUCAUAGGUGUAGCAGCGCUGGACUUUCUCUGCCCCCGGUGGAGCAGCUUAUCUGACUGGCAGUCAGAGUUAUGUACAAGGACCUACAUUGUAUAGGAGGCUUGGAGGAAGAGUGGACGUCAGAUGCAUCCCAGGAGUUUAACUUAAAACCUGCCUUGGGGGAAAGGCUGGAAGAG